rnacentral:misc_RNA from 1 species
GAUGAAGAACGUAGCGAAAUGUGAUAAGUAAUGUGAAUUGCAGAAUUCAGUGAAUCAUCGAAUCUUUGAACGCACAUUGCGCCCGCCAGCACUCUGGCGGGCAUGCCUGUUCGAGCGUCAUUUCAACCAUCAAGCCCCCAGGGGCUUGUGCUGGGGCCCUGCGGCUGCCCGCAGGCCCUGAAAACCAGUGGCGGGCUCGCUAGUCACACCGAGCGCAGUAGCACAUCUCGCUCAGGGCGUGCGGCGGGCUCCUGCCGUGAAACCCCCCACUGUAACCCCAAAGGUUGACCUCGGAUCAGGUAGGAAUACCCGCUGAACUUAAGCAUAUCAAUAAGCGAGGA